AGUAAUCUUCCGCGAAAGGACGUAGGCCCUGCUGGCAGGGAAGGCGCCGGCGUGCAGCUUUGUAUCGCCGGCCGGCCGCCCGCUGGUGGAAGCAGGCAGCUUCAACCGCUAGCUCUGCCGGCACUGGCGCUGCGAGGCCCGGCAGGGCGUGGGGUGCUGUUGGCGGGCCGCCUACACCGCGGGCGCGUUUUCCCGUGAAGCUACCGGCUACUGCCGGGACCGAGCCCCGCACAGACACCUCCAGCUUCGGCAUCCCUCCAGCCCCGGCCUCUCUGGCCGCGGGAAAGGGAGGGGGGAAAUAAAGUUCUACUUGGGAGACUACAGGAGACUUCUGGCGAAGCAGAGCGUGUUGUGCUUUGCUGUCCCGGCCCCUGCUGUUAGUUACAACGUUAAUCGCCAUCAGCAGCCGUACGUGGAGACCGGAGAGCCCGAGGCCUCACCAGAGCCCAGUCAGGCCAAGUGCUCGUUUCAGGCAAAAUUUAAAGUCACUCCAGAGGACUGCGAGCCCGGCAACGGCUAUCGUGCAGGUCCUGCUGCUGUCUUUCUGUCAAUGCAAUGCUGGCCUGGACAGCGAGAUCCCUUAACCUUAUCGAGCUUCCAGCUGGAGCAAACUGUACAAGGAACUAGCAAUGGUAUCUAAAGAGGUUCACUCACAAAGAAGCUUGCAGGCCAGCAGUACAUCCCUGAGGACGGAACAAGAUAAGACUAAAGAGAGAAGUGGGAGUAGGAGAAGGAAGUUAUAUUCUAGUUGAGGAGAUUGGUGCUCUGUAAGCACCUAAAAUAGAAUAUGGAGAUAGAGACAGCAGAAGCAGAAUGGAUGCCAAAGUGAAAUGAUCUGGAGUGCUGAGCGCUGCAUCAACCCACACACAGGCCCACCCCAAGGACAGUGAUGCAGAGAAGUCUUAGAUGGUGCUCCCUGCUUGGAAAAAUGAUGUCAGUAUUGGCAGACCCGAAACUAAACUGAAGGCUAACCAAAAUAAAUUCAUUAAAUGUACUUCCCUUCUAUAUAGCACAAAAAUUUCAUUCUCAGUGCAGUGCACCUUUGUAUUAGCCUUGUACUGUUUAACAGCACUGCUG